rnacentral:lncRNA from 1 species
GGAAUUUCUUUUAUAAUAGAUAUAAACAUUUAUUGCAUGCCAGAAACACUGUAAUUGGGAUUUUUAGGUCAUUUUAGCUAAAGGUAAGAUAAUGUGACAGCUAUUUGUCAGCUGUUUUAAAGUAUCCUGUCGUAUAUACUAUUAAUAACUCUCAUAACUACAACCUACUUUACAUACACUAUGCUUAUGAGAGACCAGAAGCAAAGUGUGGACUCUGAUGCCAGUAGAUAAAUUAAUGUUAGUUGAGAUUAACGUGAAGUAUUCCUUUAAAAUCAGUAAAUCUCAAUGCUUUACAAAAAGAAUUUUAUCCCCCUUUAUUAUGGCUAAUAAAGUCUUAGCAAGGUUUAAAAUGAUCAGAGAGGAAAGUCUCUGGUAGGAAGAUGGCACAGCUAUAAAUUAGUCAUAUUGAAAGUGUUCUCUUGAUUUCCAGUGAGAGUUGUUGAAUAUCCCUUUUCGCUUCCUGUAAACAUAUCUGAUAACCCUAGGUGUAUCUCUGUCGUUCUGUUAUUUUAACAC